UACGAAGGGGGCUAGCGUUGUUCGGAUUUACUGGGCGUAAAGGGCGCGUAGGCGGUGCAAUAAGUCAGGCGUGAAAGCCCCGGGCUCAACCCGGGAAUUGCGCUUGAUACUGUUGCGCUUGAAUCCAGGAGAGGAUGGCGGAAUUCCCAGUGUAGAGGUGAAAUUCGUAGAUAUUCGGAAGAACACCAGUGGCGAAGGCGGCUCACUGGACUGGUAUUGACGCUGAGGUGCGAAAGCGUGGGGAGCAAACAGG
rnacentral:rRNA from 1 species